UCUCACAUUUCUCUCUACUUGUUCUCUUUCGGGCUUGCUGCCUUGAACUGUCCCUGAUGACGGAAGGCACCGCAGUGCGUGGUAUCGCAGGCUCCCGUGUCCCCCCACCCCACACCCUGUGUGGGGCGGAAGCCAAGCAUCCCUCCCUCUCCUAUCCCUCCCAAUGCCGGGCGGCUUCUGGUGGUGCCAUUGACAAGUGCCGACGACGUAGUGGGGGAGACCAGAGCGAUGCAUCGCCACUGAUGUCGGCCUUGUGGUCCUGGAUGGCGUUGUGCGUCGAAGCACCUGCGACAAGGGACACGCCUGUGUCAUUAACGGGAUGGUCAAGGUGUCCACGGGACUCGAGGGCAUCGCACCCGACCCCCUCGCUGCCUACCUGUGCGUGGUGCCUGAGUUCCACCCCCCCAGCGGGGAUGCGCCGGGAGUGGUGACCGGCACGAUGGGGGAGCGGCUUUGUGGCGACCCGCGAGGCCGCGGGUGGGUGGGUGGAGUUGGAGGGCAGAGGUCGUGCUCUCCGAUGGCUCAGUGGGAGCCUUGUGCUGAAACGCGUGUGUUCACGGCUGCUUCGCACCGGGCGGUGGGGUCCUGUGACAGUUCAGGCAGAGUGAAGCUCAAGACAUGCGCUAUGUCAGAAUGGAUACGCUGAAAAAGGGUUUUCUUUUGUUACUAGCCAACUGGCGUCCUUGUGCCGCGUUGUCACCCACCCUCCUUCCUUCCCGUUGCUAAUCUCUCUUUGGCUCUGUCUCUGCCCCUUCCACCCGCUGGCAGGCCCACUGUAUUGGCCCUCGAUCCUCUCUAUUCCUGCCUCCUUCAUGACGUUCUUGUUGCGUGUUGUCUGCCUUUUUUUUACCUUUUCUAAAAGACACGCACAGCAACCUCCAACGAGGACCACGCACGCACGGAGGCGCGCAGGCACCCCAGAUCCGAGACACAUGGAUCCAUGAAGGUAAGAGCAGAAGGUAGGCAAAGGAACGCAGGCAGGCGGAGCAACACGACUCACUCGCCUGCCUAUAUGCGCACGCGCGCACUAAGAGCAGCUCCCACGACCUUCCUCGUCUCUUCCUCGCGUCUUUGCGCCAGGUGCAUCCAAGCUUGUUUUCCAGCGAGACCCUGAGUCUUUCGCAAAAGUGUACACAGCGCGGCGGCAAAGGCGGCGCAGGCUUUCCCCUCUCUUGCUCCUUCUUGCCUUGUUCUCGCCCUUCCUCCUCCUCGUGUCUUCUUUCCACUCUCGAUGUACGCUCUUAACACCUUCGCACCCUCUUCGCACUCUCUGUGCCUCUUUUCCCUCCUUCUGUUUCUUGCCCGCGUUUGCACUCUCCUGCUCACCAACGCCACUGCUGCGUGAAUGCCGCCGCAUGGCAG
rnacentral:misc_RNA from 1 species